AUAUUAAAUGUAAUUAUCAUAAUAUCAUGUGCUGAGUCUUAUUCUUAAUAGCAGAAGAAGCGAGUCACAUAACAGAAUGGCAAUCUUCUUUUAAAUAUCGCGCACUGCAUUUAGUAAACGCGCAUGCGCAAAAAUCAUAUUCGGGAAAUAGUAUCAUGGCGGGCGAGUACUAGCAGGCAGAACAGUGCACGUGCGAGACAACAAUAUCGUCGCAGUGAACGAAAGUUUUGUGCGAGUCGUGGCAUUUGUGAAAGUGGGAAAGACAGAAGAUACUCAAAGUGAUAUUGUGUGGAAAGUUGGGAUAUUUACCUAAAAUUAUUAUUGG